CCGCGCAGCCGGAGAGUUAGCGGUGCUCUGAACCUGCAAUCCGCUAUAGCAGGGGUGAUACCAAUCCGAGGACUUUUCGUUGUGGGGCUGCCUUUUAUAAGUGGCGUUGACGUCUGGGUCUUACGCAACAGGACUCUGUGAACCGUGUCAGGGUAGGAAUACAGCAGCACUAAGCAGAUACUCCUGUGUGACGUAAGGCAACCUGGGCUGAGCUGGCUGUAGGAGUAACGCCUGUGGCGUAUUUUCGAAGUGCGGUGCGCGG
rnacentral:SRP_RNA from 1 species